GACGAACGCUGGCGGCGUGCCUAAUACAUGCAAGUAGAACGCUGAAGAGAGGAGCUUGCUCUUCUUGGAUGAGUUGCGAACGGGUGAGUAACGCGUAGGUAACCUGCCUGGUAGCGGGGGAUAACUAUUGGAAACGAUAGCUAAUACCGCAUAAAAUUGAUUAUUGCAUGAUAAUUGAUUGAAAGAUGCAAUUGCAUCACUACCAGAUGGACCUGCGUUGUAUUAGCUAGUUGGUGAGGUAACGGCUCACCAAGGCGACGAUACAUAGCCGACCUGAGAGGGUGAUCGGCCACACUGGGACUGAGACACGGCCCAGACUCCUACGGGAGGCAGCAGUAGGGAAUCUUCGGCAAUGGGGGGAACCCUGACCGAGCAACGCCGCGUGAGUGAAGAAGGUUUUCGGAUCGUAAAGCUCUGUUGUAAGAGAAGAACGGGUGUGAGAGUGGAAAGUUCACACUGUGACGGAUCUACC
rnacentral:rRNA from 1 species